AAGGGGGCACUCUUUUCCCUAAGGAGGGUUUUUAACGAGGCCACCCAAUUAAAGAAAAAAUUCCAGCAUAUAAAGCGUGCUCAAGUAUUAAAGUUAAAAUCCUCCUUGCCCCAGGUGCAAGUGCAGGUGAUUGGUUAGGCCCUACUUGCCCUAGGCGCAAGUACUGGCACCGGUCUAAGUCUUCCUCACCCCAGGUGUGAGCGCAAGCAGUUAAAGGUUUGAAAAGCCAGGGGUGCUAGUAAGACCAAGGGAGGGAAAGGAAAGGUUUUGACAAAACGUCCUUACCCACUUGGCAUACACCAAUAUUGGCCCAGUAAGACUCUUAGUCCGAAACCCUUCUCA
rnacentral:lncRNA from 1 species